GCCGGAGUGGUGGAAUUGGUAGACACAAGAGACUUAAAAUCUCUCGGGUCUCUGACUCGUGCCGGUUCGAGUCCGGCCUCCGGCACCA
rnacentral:tRNA from 1 species